rnacentral:rRNA from 1 species
AACGAACGCUGGCGGCAUGCCUAACACAUGCAAGUCGAACGAGACCUUCGGGUCUAGUGGCGCACGGGUGCGUAACGCGUGGGAACCUGCCCUUAGGUUCGGAAGAACUCCCCGAAAGGGGUGCUAAUACCGGAUAAUGUCUUCGGACCAAAGAUUUAUCGCCUUUGGAUGGGCCCGCGUUGGAUUAGCUAGUUGGUAGGGUAAAAGCCUACCAAGGCGACGAUCCAUAGCUGGUCUGAGAGGAUGAUCAGCCACACUGGGACUGAGACACGGCUCAGACUCCUACGGGAGGCAGCAGUGGGGAAUAUUGGCCAAUGGGCGAAAGCCUGAUCCAGCAAUGCCGCGUGAGUGAUGAAGGCCUUAGGGUUGUAAAGCUCUUUUACCCGGGAUGAUAAUGACAGUACCGGGAGAAUAAGCACCGGCUAACUCCGUG